rnacentral:lncRNA from 1 species
AUUCUAGGUGUAAUAAUGUGGACAAUCAAAAAUCUAACUGCGACACGAAGACCUACUCUGAGGAAAUUCUACUCAAGAUAGAAGUCCACGCAUGACAUGAAUAAUCAUACAUGGACUUAGGAGACUAUUGUUGCGCUUUACCACCUGGCAUCCUACACGGCCAAACCAUCGAAGCCCUUUGCCAAAAGUCCUCUAAAUCUGAAGCACCAAAGCCCUAAAUGCCGAAGACAUCGUCGAAGCCUUUUGACGUAGUCCUCUGCCAAAGUGGUGAGGCUCAAGGUUGAAUCCAAAGCUCUAUCGUGACAAGUAAUGACCUUCAAUUGAAGAUCCUAAAUUCAUGAAAUCUUGUUGAAAUGAGUAAUUUGACUUCUGUAACGAAUGAUAUGUCAAAAUCUUAUCAACAUAAGUUAUAGGGUGGCUGCUCCCUUUAAGAGCAUUAAAUGUGCCACAGGCUAAUGAAGUCAAACUAAUGCCUAGAAUAUGGUG